GACGAACGCUGGCGGCGUGCCUAAUACAUGCAAGUUGAGCGCUGAAGGUUGGUACUUGUACCAACUGGAUGAGCAGCGAACGGGUGAGUAACGCGUGGGGAAUCUGCCUUUGAGCGGGGGACAACAUUUGGAAACGAAUGCUAAUACCGCAUAAAAACUUUAAACACAAGUUUUAAGUUUGAAAGAUGCAAUUGCAUCACUCAAAGAUGAUCCCGCGUUGUAUUAGCUAGUUGGUGAGGUAAAGGCUCACCAAGGCGAUGAUACAUAGCCGACCUGAGAGGGUGAUCGGCCACAUUGGGACUGAGACACGACCCAAACGCCUACGGGAGGCAGCAGUAGGGAAUCUUCGGCAAUGGACGAAAGUCUGACCGAGCAACGCCGCGUGAGUGAAGAAGGUUGUCGGAUCGUAAAACUCUGUUGGUAGAGAAGAACGUUGGUGAGAGUGGAAAGCUCAUAAAGUGACGGUAACUACUCAGAAAGGGACGGCUAACUACGUG
rnacentral:rRNA from 1 species